CCUACGGGAGGCAGCAGUAGGGAAUCUUCCGCAAUGGACGAAAGUCUGACGGAGCAACGCCGCGUGAGUGAUGAAGGCUUUCGGGUCGUAAAACUCUGUUGUUAGGGAAGAACAAGUGCUAGUUGCAUAAGCUGGCACAUUGACGGUACCUAACCAGAAAGCCACGGCUAAC
rnacentral:rRNA from 1 species